rnacentral:lncRNA from 1 species
UAAAUCCAGUCUAAUGUUGUCGAGGUCACAAAAUAUCCGACGUGGUUGGCCAACAUCAUCCCUGUGCCGAAGAAGGACGGCAAGAUUCGAAUUUGUGUUGACUAUAGAGACUUGAAUAGAGCCAGUCCUAAAGAUAAUUUUCCGUUGGCCAACAUCCACAUUCUCAUCGAUAACUGUGCAAAACAUGAAAUGCAGUCAUUCAUUGAUUGUUUCACCAGGUAUCAUCAGAUAUUGAUGGAUGAGAAAGAUGCAGAAAAAUGGCUUUUAUUACACCCUGGGGUGUUUAUCAUUACAGGGUAAUGCUGUUUGGUCUCAAAAAUAUGGGUGCAAUAUAUAUGAGGGCUAUGACGACAAUUUUCCAUGAUAUGAUCCAUAAAGAGAUUAAGGUAUACGUGGAUAACGUAAUUAUCAAAUCCCGUGAGAGUUCUGAUCAUCUGACUCAUCUGGAGAAAUUUUUCAACAGAUUAAGAAGGUACAGUUUGAAAUUAAAUCCUGCUAAGUGUGCUUUUGAUGUGCCAUCAGGGAAGUUACUGGGGUUCAUAGUCAGUAGAAGAGGCAUUGAGUUAAACCUAUCCAAAAUCAAGACAAUUCAGGAUUUGCCACCGUCGAAGACUAAGAAGGAAGUUAUGAUUUUCAUAGGUCAUUUGAAUUACAUUAGCAGGUUCAUCACGCACUCAACAGUCAUAUGCGAGCCAAUUCUCAAGAUGUUGAAGAAAAAUGCAUUGAACAAGUGGAUAGAAGAAUGUCAGAGAGCUUUUAACCGCAUCAAGGAAUACUUGUCUGCACCGCUGGUUUUGGUUCCGCCAAGAGAAGAAAUUUCAUUAUUGCUUUACCUGUCAGUCUCAGAAAAUGCUUUCGAAUGUGUCCUCGGACAACAUGAUGAGACCGGUAGGAGAGAGAAAGCCAUUUACUACUUAAGUAAAAAGUUCACACCAUACGAAGCCUAUUACACUCUUGUAGAAAGGACAUGUUGUGCUUUGACUUAGAUGGCACAAAAGUUGAGGCAUUAUCUGUCAUCCUACACAAUAUAUCUCAUCUCGAGAAUGGAUCCAUUAAAGUAUAUUUUCCAAAAGGCCAUGCCUACGGAAAAGCUAGCCAAGUGGAAAAUGUUGCUGAGUGAGUUUGACAUUGUGCAUGUAACCCAAAAAGCAAUCAAGGGGCAAGCCUUAGCAGAUCAUUUGGCAGAGAACCCAGUUGAUGAGGAAUAUGAGCCACUUCGAACUUACUUUCCAGAUGAGGAAGUUUUGUUCGUAGGAGAAGACAUUAUAGAGAUUUACCCUGGAUGGAGGCUAUUUUUUGAUGGGGCAGUCAACUUCGAAGGUUCAGGAAUUGGAGCAGUUAUGGUGUCAGAAAUGGACCAGCAUUAUCCGAUAACUGCUAUGUUACAUUUUCCAUACACCAAUAACAUGGCUGAAUAUGAGACUUGCAUUCUGGGUAUCAAAUUGGCACUUGAUAUGGGUGUUCGUGAAUUGUUAGUCAUCGGGGAUUCAGAUUUGCUGAUUACCAGGUACGAGGAGAAUGGUCAGUAAAAAAUCCCAAGAUCACUCCUUAUGUGGAGCUGGUGCAAGAAUUAUGUAAAAGAUUCAAGGAAGCUGAUUUUAGGCAUAUUCCACAGAUAAAAAAUGAGUUUGCUGAUGCUUUGGCCACUAUAUCUUCCAUGAUUCAGCACCUGGAUCAGAGUUACAUUGAUCCUUGGGAAAUAAGCUUGAAAGAGCAACCCGCGCAUUGUGUACAUGUGGAAGAGGAGCCUGAUGGAAAGCCUUGGUACUAUGACAUUAAAAGGUAUUUGGAAUCUGGAAUAUAUCCUGAAGAGGAUAGUAACAACCAAAAGAAGAGAAUCCGGUGUUAGGCAAAGAAUUACUUUCCAAGUGGGAAAAUUCUUUUUAAGAGGACUCCUAAUUUGGGAUUCCUAAGAUGCGUCGAUGCUGCGGAAGCUAAUAAAUUGAUAAAAGAGGUACACGCUGGAAUUUGUAGCCCCCACAUGAAUGGGUUUGUCCUUGCCAGAAAGAUCCUGAGAACCGGUUACUUCUGGAUGACUAUGGAAAAUGAUUGUAGUAAGUAUGUGCAGAGAUGUCUAAAAUGUCAAAUACACGGAGAUCUGAUUCGAAUGCCUCCACACGAGCUUCACACAAUGAAUUCGCCUUGGCCUUUCAUAGCUUGGGGCAUGGAUGUCAUCGGACCAAUAGAGCCAUUAGCAUCAAAUGGGCAUAGAUUUAUUUUGGUUGCCAUUGAUUAUUUCACUAAGUGGGUCAAAGCGGCUUUGUACAAAGCCGUCACUAAGAAAGUGAUUGUGGAUUUAGUCAGGAAUAAGUUGAUUUACCGGUUUGGAGUACCAGAAUCGAUCAUUACUGACAAUGGGGCAAACUUGAACAGUCACUUGACAAAAAAAAAUUUGUGAUUAGUUCAAGAUUGUGCAUCGCAACUCGACUGCAUAUCGUUCCCAAAUGAAUGGAGUUAUGGAAACGGCCAACAAGAAUAUCAAGAAGAUCUUGAGAAAAAUGGUCGAAAAUAAUAGAUCAUGGAAUGAGAUGUUACCUUACGCCUUGCUAGGGUAUCACACAACAGUUCGAACCUCCACCGGGGUGACCCUCUAUUUGCUUAUCUAUGGGAUUGAAGCUGUGAUACCUGCUGAAGUUGAAAUACCUUCCCUAAGGAUUAUUUAGGAAGCUGGACUAAGUAACGAAGAAUGGGUUCAUGCUCGGUAUGAAAAACUCAUGUUGAUUGAUGAAAAGAGAAUGGUCACUGUAUGCCAUGGUCAGUUGUACUAACACAGGAUGGUUCGUGCCUUUAACAAGAAGGUGAGAUCUCAGGCAUUUGAAGUGGGGCAACUGGUUCUCAAACGAAUAUUCCCUCACCAAGAGGAGUACAAGGGCAAGUUCGCUCCAAACUGGCAAGGGCCAUACAUAGUUCGCAAGGUGCUAUCUGGAGAAGCUCUGAUUUUUUCUGGGAUGGAUGGCACAAAGUGGACCAAACCAAUCAAUUCCGACGUGGUAAAGAGAUAUUAUGUUUAAAGGACAUUCUAGCUUUUGUGUUUCUUUAGUUAAUUUACUUGUAAUCUCCUUUGUAAUAAUGUUGUUUUCUAGUGUGUGACUGUCUAGAGUCCUUUCCUCUUAUGUACGAACUACGUUUGACCUGAAUUCCCAAGAAAAGGAUACGUAGGCGGCCUAUGUCGGCUUCGGUCAACCCCUUAGGAUAAUUUAUCCUUUUCUCUUAUGUAUGAACUACGUGAUGACCUGAAUUCCCAACAAAAGGGAUACGUAGGCGGCCUAUGUCGGCUUCGGUCAACCCAUUAGAUUUUCUAUAUAUAUCUCUAGCGUAGUCCUGAACUACGUUUAACCUGAUUCCUGCUUCAACAGGAUACGUAGGCACCCCAACAGCUUGGUCAUAUGACCCCAGGAAAUGGAAACUGGGACAGAAUUUUCGAGAAAGAAUCUCAAAAACAGAAGAGAAGAUCGACAUCCAACAAAAAGAAUGAAGAUCAGCAAAGACUUCAGAUCCACUCGGAUUGGUAUCAUCUCAAACAACUUUAAACUAAGGCAGAAAUGUUGAGGAAGACCUCAAAAUUUCCACCAAAUGCCGGAACAUAUUCCAAAUUCCCUAGAACCAAAGGUUAAAGCUCUUUGGAAGCCACCAACUGUAACAAAGUCUGGGUAGACUCAAUUUUUGGCUAUGAUAGAACUACUUGAUGAAACCCUCCAAUAAUGAUCAUGAGUUUUGGAAACCAUCCAUUGAAUAUAGUCAAAACCAUGAGGAGGACGUUCCUUGAGCUACUACAUGACAUGACUGACAGAGAUUUUCUAAAGUUUUACAGAAGUUUUCAAAAUUAUUUUCAAAAAUUUAAGUCUAUUUUCAAAAAUCUUACAACUCACUUAUUUAGUACUUGCUUAGACAUCAUUUGGGAUGAUGUGUCAGGGUGGAAGUCCCAACAUGACGGAAUGCCCGAGAGAUGGCAAGGAGCAAAUCGAGGAUCGAAAAAGGUCAACAUGGAGUAAUUUCAUUCAAACUACCCUAAAAAUGGGUUAACAACUAUUUAUUGAGGACCUUUUGAUUUGUCCAUCUCAUUUCUUGAGAUCAUAGGCGAUAAACAAAAACGCCUAGUCUUCUUUACAAAUAUUGUAUUUAGAAGUUUCCUAAAAAUAGUCGCUAGCAAAAACGACUUUGUGUCUACUAAUCGCCUACCUUGAGCACAGGUACAUGUAGAAAGCAAGACGAUGACAGAUGAAUUCAGGUAAAAUUAUUUUAUCAUUGCUGCAAAGCGUUGCUCCAAGGGCCAUUACAUAUCAUUACCGCAAGACAUUGCCCCAAGGGCCAUUGCAUAUUAUUGUCGCAAGGCGUUGCCCCAAGGGCUAUGGCAUAUCAUCGCCACAAGGGCUAUUGCAUAUCAUCAUCACAAGGGAUAUUGCAUAUCAUCGCCACAAAGGCUAUGGCAUAUUAUCGCCACAAGGGCUAUUGCAUAUCAUUGCCCCAAGGGCCAUUACAUAUCAUUGCCACAAAGGCCAUCUCAUACCAUCUCCCCAGAAGGCAUUCAACAUAUGUUGACACGCUAGACAGAAAUAUUGGCGUCGAGGAUAUCUCAUCAUUUCAUGAAUCAGCAUAUGAAUGCAUCGAGGGUACACGAUUUGAAGGGAUGCCUUUAAGUCGCUAUCCAAGGAUAAAUGAUAUAUAAGGUUUCCUAGAAAUUGACAAUUUGAGGGUCACCUAUAAGCCACAUUAUUUGAAAUAGAAUAGUGUGCAAGAUCACCUAUGAGUUGAUAGCAUGUAGGUCAUUCGUAAGCCACAACAACAUCCUAAUCGGAUAAUGUGCAAAAUCGCCCAGAAGUUGAUAGUUCAAAGGUUAUUCGUAAGUCGCAACUAAAUCCUUACCGAAGGAUAUGCAAGAUUGUCAAAUUGAUACGUCCAAGAGUUCUCUAUAAGCCACGUCAUAUCCUAGAUCGAUUAUGUACAGGAUUACCCAAAGACUAAUAAUUUGAGGGAUUAUCUAUAAGUCAUAUUGUAUCCAAGGUCGGAUGAUGUACAGGAACACCUGAAAACUAGCGAUUGGAGAGAUAUCUGUAAGCCAUCUCUUAUCCAAAGUCGGAUAAUAUGCAAGAUUGCCUAAAAGCUAGAAAUUCAAAGGAUAUCUGUAAGUUGCCUCGUAUCCGAUAUCAAAUAAUAUGCAAGAUUAUCCAAAGAUUGACAAUUUGAGAAAAAUUUAUAAAUCGAUCAUCGGCUAUAACCGGAGAGGUUAUCAUUCCACACACGACAAGUAAUACAGGUAACCAAAAAGGUUGCCACACCAGUAUAAGAUUACACGAUUGUAGGGACCGUUCUGCAUAAAGUAUCACCGGGGUCACCCCACUUUGAAAACAUAUUUGCUCGACAAAUGUCAUAAUUAUACAACAACCAAAAGGGUUGUUGUGUUUGUUGUUGCGGGUUAUUUCAUUCCAAACAGGUACAUAAAGAGAUGACUCCGCCUUUCAGGCCACAACUCAUGUGGAGAUAUGGUAAAAAACUACCUGCCUCUUUCGUGAAUUAUGUUAGCACUAACAAUUUUGUUUGAGAUAUUGCCGAGAGAAGCCAAGAGAAUGAAAAUCUCAAAUAAAACCCACAGGUGCGGGCGAUUCCAAAAAGAAUACAACACAACGUGGAACUCUUUCUUAGCAGCAAAAUGGGACAUAGUCUAAAGAGGGACGUCAAACUCUUUGCGAGCUAAAUGAUGAUCACCACCACCAUCUAAACACGCCUCUAUUAGAAGGCAUGUGGGUACUUUUGGAUAUUCUGGUCUCACCUUUACCUCUAGGAUGUUUGUUAACUCAUACUGAGGAGAACUUUCUUUUCUUUCAAAUUCGGGUGGCAACACACUUAGAGUUUUGGAAAUUAUGCCCACGUAAAUUCUUAUAUAAGAAGAGCUCCACAUUCAUGGUUAAGAGGUUACAAGAAUCUUUUCCGCAACUCAUUAACUUGUCACUCGUCCCGAGCCAAAGAUCGUCUAAAAUAGAAGACUAUCUUUUCUACUGAUCGAGUCGAACUACAAGCAGUCUGAUUCCCUAAAAUCUUGGGGAUAUGUGGGCUGGAAUCUAUGUAGAAAACUCGACUGCAUUCCAACCUCCCCCCAAUCCCUUUAUUCCCCAGUUUCUCAGUUUUAUCAAAAACUCUAAAAUCGAGGUAACUUGUGAAUUUUUUGAAAAUCAUGCUCAAGAUCAAGCUUUAUGAACUACAAGUGGCCUGAAUUCUCAUGAAAUCUGAGAUAUGUAGGAAACCUGAUACCGAGGUUCGGCCAUAACUCCAUGAAUCUCAUUCGGAAAACCAACCUCUCUUAGAUACAAAUUUGUGGUUGGACAAAAAUUAGGAACGUCAACCUCCCUUUGCCCAGGAUUACUUGCAUCCAUCCUACCCAAGGGGAGGGGGAAGUUGUUGACACCUAAUUUUUGCCGUCCACAACUACAUUUAAUCUCGAGUUUCUUUGAUUUUCAAAUAAAAUCAUAGCAAUUAUUUUUCCAAAUAAAUGCAUUUUAAAAUAGGCAUUUGGGCUAAUUUUGUCAUUUAAAGUGAUAAUUAUAUAUUUUCAUAUUUGCAUAUAUGAGAUUGUAUAAAUUAUGUCAUUUAAAUGAACAUUUUCAUCACAUUGGGAUUUAAAUUAAGGAUUAUUUGAAAAAUAAAUAAAUAAUUAAAGUCUUGAUUUAAACAAAAUUUAUUCUCAAAUAAUUUAUUUGGAUAUAUACUUGUUUGAUUUUAUUAAAUCAAGAAACUUGGGAUUAAAAGAGAUAUUAAUUUGUAUCGAGAAUUAUUUUAAUUUAGCCAUUCUAUUGAAUUUGACCAUAAUUGAAACUAAAUGGGCCAUAAUUGCAAUACAAUUGGCCAAUUGACUUUUGAUUUGGUUAAAAUUUAAAUAGAAUGAACUGAAUUAAAAUUGAUGUUGUUUUUCUAAGUAACCCCACAAUCUACCCAAUACCCAAAAACUUAACCAAUUAAAAAGCCCAAACCGAAGGCCCAUUUUCUUUUAUCCAACAAUUAAAACUACAACCAGCCUUUUCCUUACAAUUUUUGUCGCCCGAAGCCCACUCCAACAGCUAUAACUCGGCCCAUCUUCCAAUCCCCCUUUCCCUUUAAUCAGUAACCAAAGCUACUACAGCUACAAGGUUCAACUUCAACCACAGCCUUCAACUACCAGAACAAUACAAACACGCUACAACAUCAUACAAGCCUCAGCAAAAUGACAAUAUCGGUUUCCAUCUACCAACGAUUUCAACCCUUAAAUCGAGCUCCAACCCAUUUGUUUCUUUUUCAUCACGUGUCUCACGCUGGUUUGUACUCGUAGGGCUCGGGAACAUUCUAGAACAAGCCUAGGUGGCUCAUCCAACGUCCAUAUUUCGCAAAUCUUGGGUACCAUUGUACGAAUCCAUACAUAAUUGGUUGAUUUUCAUUGGUUUGGAAUAAAUUAUGUUUUUUCUAAUUUUGAUUGGUCCACCCGCUCGCAUUUAUCUGAGAAAAUUCCAAAAUUCAUAGGAGUUUGUUAGUAUAAAACAUUAUCUAAGUUCAAAUUUUGAAUUCCUUCUGGAAGAAAAUCAUAAAAUUAUCCACAGGAGGCCCCAUUUUUGUUUCCAUCGAUUGAAACACUAAAAAAUGAACCCUAGCCCAUUCUCUAUAUAAAGUCUGUUUUAGGAAGCUCAGGGGGAAGAGAGUUCUUUCUAGGGUUGGAGUUCUGAGGUUCAGAUAAGGUAGAUUUUUCCUCGAUGACAUUUUUAGGGUUUGAUUUUUUUUGAGGUGGAAACUUUGAGGUUUCAAAGAUUUCUUAGAAAAAGGGAAACCCAUAGUUUUAGGAUUCUUCUUUUUUCUGUUUCUGUGGAAUCCUUACUGGUGAUUGAAGCUUUUAAGCGAGAGAUGAAGAUAUCAAUGUGUUAGGGUUCUCAAAAUAUAAAAGCUAUCUCCUUUUUCUGUAAAAUAUCGUCUCGUCUGCUGUAGAGGCCCUGAAGGCCAUAGGUUUGGUUGCGAUGAUGUUCAUGUUGUGAUAUUCAAGUAAUUUCAAUUGUAUUUUGUAUUAUAUGUGAGCUGUGUCGGCUAAGGAAGAAAAGAAUUUUUAUUGACUGCAUGUUUAAACUUUGAUCAAAACCUGUUGGGUUGAGUUUUAUAUCGCUAUUUGUUUGACUAUAUGGGAUAGAAAACUGCAUAUUGAUGGAAGUUGGCAAUUUAUGUUUUUGAUUUUGUAUCAUUCCUAGUUGUUUGGUCUUUCCUUGAUACAAUUUUGCUCAUGUACCGUUAGUAGUUAUCCAUUCGAAAUCGUGGCCUGGCAGUGCAAAUUUCAUGUCCUCUUUGAUUUUUCUUUUGUAGAAAAUGUUUGGAGUCUUACUCAUGUUUGGUCCAUCAUGUCUUUUCAUUGCUUCAACAAGAUAAACUCUUCAUCAUGUUGUCUUUAACGACUAAUGUCAAAAGAAGCGGUAGGUUUACCCUCCAAAGAUGUCAAGACGAUCCUUUAAAAUGUCCAUUUUGAGUAGUUUUGCUUUCUCUGAUUUCUUUUCUCAAGAAUGCGACAUCCUUUAAUAAAUUGAAUAUCCAGUGAAUGUUUUGAUAAUAGAAGAUCUUUUCAUUCUUCCAUGAUGUCUAAACGCCAAUAUUUUAAUUUUUCCACCUAAGUAAUAUGUUCGAAAAUCUUCUGGGGUUUGGAAUUAACGCCGUUGUUUGUCAAAACUUGAUUUUUCUCGCGUAUCUCAUCUAGCAAUCUGAUUUAGUCCUUUCUGAGAAUUUUGUUGUCAUGUUUGUACAAUGCAUAAAUAAAAAUGUGUAAAUUUUAGUUAAGCAAGUUUUUUUUUUAAUUCCAAACAAGUAUGACACCCAAUUGGUUUACCUCCCUGGGAUAGACUUAUGAGUUUAGUUAUCAUUGUUCUCUUCUCCCUUAUUUUUGGCAUAACACGCUUGUUUACUGCUAGUAAUUCACAUGCUAGCCUAGUGAGUUUCGAUCCAUGUACAAUCCUUGUCGAAUUGAUUCAUUCAUAUUUUAUUCUUACUUUAUGCGGACUUUUCUUGUGUAAUGUUUGAAUUACAAGUUGUUUGCUUCAUUUACUAAAAACUUGGAGUGAACUAUAUGGUUUUAAUUUUCUUUAGCUUCCUGAACCUUGGUAUGACAUAUUUCUUGUAGCAUCUGAGGUCGCCAAAAGAUUCUCUCAUAGCAAUAUUAGUUGUUCCCGAAUGAAAACAGAGAGAUUAGACUAAUGUGAAUUUUAUUAUAUGCCAUAAUGCCGUCCCAUGUCUUUUUUAGUUAGUCAUUCAUUAGGUGUCAACUUUCAAAAAUAGGUUAAGUUCUUUACUUCUUUCUUUGCAUUCCAGAUAUGUGUUAAUUUUCUCUUUUUUCUCUUUUGCAUGUGAAUUUAUUCUCUGAGUUUGAAUGGACUCCUUCCUUCCACAUUUUUGCAAUGGGCCAUUGAGGCCCGUCAGAUUAGAAGACUUUGAACGCCCAUUAGUACGAUCGCAAGGAGUCGAAGAAAAAAAAGAAGGAUUAAAUCCACUUGAAGCGGCUACAAGACCCAAAAAUUUCAUUUGUUAUUAUGUCGUCUUUGUUUUUAUUUAUUUAUUUUCUCAUUUAUUUAUUCGAACCUCGAAGCCAAAGUUGUAUUUAAUACAGGUGGAGGCAAAACUCGAGCUAAAGGCUUAAAAAUAUAGAAUUAGGACAGGUGAAAGGAGAAAUGGGUUGAAAACCCAACUAGAUUAGGACAUGUUUAGCGAUUUGGGCUUCAAAGCCUAAAUCACUACUUUUUCUCCCUUCCCCUUUCUUUUUGAUUAUUUGUUUUGCAUGCCUUUUUGCGAACCUAGUCAAAUCCCCUAAUGAAUUCUCUAAAAAUUAACUUUUACAAACUUUCAAAGUAUUUCUAAAAGUCAACCAUUUUUCAAUAAAUCAAAUUUUAGAAAGUUAAUCAAAGAUGUUUUCAAACAGUUCGGAUAACCGCAAGUUAGCAGACGUUUUAGGUGCCUAACACCUUCCUAAAACGUUAAUAGGAACCGUUUAUCUAGAAUCUCUAACUUAAUAUGAUUUCCCUAUUUUAAAUCAUUUAAAAUGUUUUAUAAAGGUUUCUUAAUUCCUUUUCAAAUUUAAGUGGCGACUCUUUCAAAAAUAAAAAAUUUUCGCAAAACAGAGGCCAUAGAAUCCCUCCCCCCAUGUUAAAAUCCACUAUAAGAACAGUUUGUGCAUCAUCAGGCACGGCUUCUAUAAUUGCUGAGUUAGCAGCAAAAUAAGCAAAUUUCCCCAAUGGGAAAACUUGGUAGAAGACCUUGAAUGUUGCUUCAAUAAUCUUACUUGAUUAUUGUCUCAAGUAACUUCCUUGAUCCUCUAUUUCCAGUAAUAAGUUAGAAGCAACACGUUCCAGUGAUUCACCUAAAGGAUUUAUUUUUUCCUUUAUGUUUCUUAUGAUCACUUCUGCUGGUUCCUUGUGACCAUUCUUCAUGGCCUCUCCAUAAGCUGCAAAUAAAUGAUGAAGUCUCAUUUGGCUAUCCAUUUCUCUAAUAUUUCCUGGAAGUAUAAGUGAAGUAGCACUAUUUGUUGAUGACAAAAGCUCACUAGAUACUCAUGAAAGAGCAAGACUCCAUUAAUCUCCAUCUCUUUUCAUUUCAGAAGAGAUGUUGUUCAUAUUUCCAUUUCCUUCACUUUCAUUAUCAUUCAACCAUCGGCAGACAUCAUCGAACUCCGAGUCAUCCAUGGGAAUAUCAGUAAGAACAUCAUCAUCUGAGAAAAGGGAUGUGAAAUCUGAGAAGGACUGGGAUGUGAAAUCUAAGAAGGAAAUCCCAGAGGAAUCUUGAUCCUUGGAGUUGAGUGAAGAAUAAGUUAUACCAUGCUUUCCAUUUUCAUAAUCACUUUGGAUGCCACAAAAUUCAGUUUGAUGGAAAGUUGAACACCAUGAGUUGUGAAGAAGCUCUGAUUGCAUCUUCUUGAUGCUUUCUUACAGGGAAAAAAGAAAUUUUUCUCUUUUUUUUAUAGGUUUGUGUUUCAGUGUUUGAUCCAUAUGAUUUGGGUAGGUAUAUAUAUAUUAAUAGGGGAAACUUUUAAAUAAUUUCCGUUGAGAAGAAUUCUCAUAAAGGGAUGUCAUAACAAUUGAAAUUCCAACUUAGAGACAUCUAGGAAAUUUUGAGUUUUACAUAGGCUUAAGUCAUCGACAUGCUCUCAAACUUAUUCCGAAAAAUCACUCAGACCCCUCAACUAAGGUCUGAGCCUAUCAGGCUCCUAACCCACCCGAAUUUUGAUCCAAUUGGGCCUUUUUUGUCCAAUCAGCUAAGAGCUCAAAUGUGUGUAAUACACACGCGAUGAUGUGGCAAAAAGAGCUAAUUGGAAGCUGACAUGUGGCAUUGUGGGUCCAAUAAUUAUUAAAAGCUUAAUUAUAAUUUAAAACAAAGAUAGAGGAAGAAGGAAAAUGGGUCAAAACCCAUUGAUGAGGUCAUUAAGAGACUUGAAAAGUCUCAGUUUUUAUUAUUUUCUUCUUUUUAUUUAUUCAUUUAGUCAUUUACUUAUUCAUUCAUUUCGUCCUCGAAGCAAAAGUUGCAUUUAAUAUAGGUGGAGCAAGACUCGAGCCAAAGGCUCGAAAAAUAGUUUAGGACAUGUGAAAUGGGUCGGAAGCCCAACUUGACUAGGACAGGUCUCGUUGAUUUGGGAUCAAUGGCCUAAAUCCUUUACUUUCUCCUCCCUUCCCCUUUUAUGUGUUUAUUAGUUUUGUUUAGACUUAGUUAAAAUCUCUGCUAAGUCGCCUAAAUCUAUUUUACACAAGUUUUUUUUAAAAAAAAAAAUCAAAUCACUAUUUCAACAAAUUAAUCUUUUCAGAAGUUAAUCAAAAGAUGUUUUCAAACAGUCCGGAUAACCGGUUAAUAGGAAUCACUUAUCUAGAAUCUCUAACUUAAAAUGAUUUUUCUGUUUUGAAUCGUUUGAAGUAACUCUCUAAAGGUUUCUUAAUUCCUUUUCAAAAUUAAGUGGCGACUCUUCUCAAAAAGUCAAAAUUUCUCUGCAAAAUAAUGGAUAGGCGCUCCUUCCUCUCCAGCAGAAGACAUGCUCAACUCCAUGUCGUGAGCACGAGUAGCUAACUCUUCAAAGGAUUUUGGCUUAAUGCCUUGCAAGAUGUAGAGAAGCCCCAGUGCAUUCCUUGGAUGCUCAUCUUUAUUGCAAAAGCUUCGCUGAGCCUAUCUUUACAGUUUAGACUAGCAUUUCUCCAUCGAUUGAUAAAGUCAAUUACUGAUUCGUCCUUUUUUUGUCGAGUAUUUGUGAGCUCUACCAUGCCCACUGUACGUCUUGUGCUUUAAAAGCGAUUCAGGAACUCAUGUUCCAGUUGCUCCUAACUAUCGAUGGAGUUAGGCUCGAGAUCAGUAUACCAAUCAAAGGCAUUUCCCUUUAGGGAACGAACAAACUGUUUGACAAGAUAGUCACCAUAAGUUUCAGCAUUAUUACAUGUCUCGACAAAGUGUGCGACAUGUUGUUUUGGGUUACCUUUGCCCUCAAAUUGUUGACAUUUGGGGGGUUGAUAGCCAGCAGGCAUUUUGAGGCUAUCUAUUAUUGCAGUGUAAGGCUUGGCAUAUGCAAGGGAAGACUUGGUGACAACAUCAUACUUGUCUUAGAGGGUCCCUUCCAUAAAUUCCCUCAAUUGCCCAAUCGGAAUCAUUCCCUCAGCAGAAACUUGCACCUCUUUAGUCGAUGGUGUUUGUUUCACAAGAUUUUCUAUCUCAUGAAUCUCUGGAGUUUUUCCCGGCACAUGGCUAGAUUCUCCGUCUAUAAAGCCUUCUACCCUAUCCACUAUUUUAUCAAUCCUAGCCUCUUGAUUCUGAACAUAGUUGGUCAGACCUUCAAUUGCCUUUGUCAGAUUCGCAAGCUGCUCCUCCACAGACGAGGCAUCAGUUACCAUUGCUUGCAUGAUCACCGAAGAUAUUGGAGAGUAACACGGGUUAUCACAUAAGUUGAUCUUUGAAGUACUUAGUUUAUGUGGUGUAAGUGGAGAUGAUGCAUUUGUUGAACGACCAUCGCUCUUGGCUUCAGAGUAUUUGGAACCGGAAUGCUCAAGUAGACCUAGAGUCUUUUUCAGCGAUUCAGCCACACUGCUUCCUCCUUUUGAAACACUUGCAUUGGACUUCAUUCUUUUCGAGGUUGAAGAUCCAAAAAUUGGAGUUGGCACGGACGACACUGGAUGUGUUUAUUGUCCUAGCAAGCCUGCCUUGCUCUUUGUGACAGCUCCUAAGGUUCCGAAAGUAACACCAAGGAUGCUUUCUACUCCAGCAGAGAACUUUGAGUCAGCAGCCUUGGAGGCAGUUGAUUGAGAGUUGACCUUCUUGGAAGUCAUUUCGUUGUUCUUAAACUUUGAAGUAUGAAAAAUUGAGAUGAGAGGUAGAGAUUGUCCCACCGGGCGUGCCAGAAUUUGUUGGACAAUGAAAUUCUCGAGAUCGAAACAUAAAUAAUUUGAGAUAAGAAAAUAUAUAUUGCAACAAUCAAUUUUAUUGAUUUCAAUGCGAGGUUACAAUCUCUAUGAAUCCUCCGAUUCACCUUUUCAAAUAUAAAUUCAAGGGCUUGAAGCUUAUUCUUGAAUUUGAACUUGAUUUGAUGGACUUAAGAGACUUGAUCUUGACUUGUGCUUGAAUUCAAAGGUUUUUGAGCUUGUUCUUGAAUAUUACAGUCUUGAUCUUGAAUCUUGAUGAAUUUGAUUGAUUUGAAUGUCUGAGCUUUUUAGAGAAAUUAUGAUGUUUGAUCCACGAGCUUUCUCUUGCUACUUAUUAGAAUUCUGGGUUUUUUUUUUUAUUAUGAGACCCCUAUUUAUAGUUGUAGGAAAGAAAGAGUCAUGAUGAAUAUGGCUUCCUUUGACCAAUCAGAUUUAAGUGAUGUGGCGCUUUUUAUGAAAUUUUAUUUCAUGGGCCUGCUGCAUCAGUUUGACAUGUAGCACGGUCCUAUUGGGUCCUUCACUUGACUUGGCAUGCCACGUCAUUUGACACGUAACGCUUAUUUGGGCAUCUAGAAUAUGACAAUAUUCUUGGGCUUAGCAAAGUGGGUUCAUUAUUUAUAGUCCAAAUUAAUGGGCUAGCCCAAUAAAAAUUGGACUUUAAUUAAACCCAUAUAUGUUUGGACUUAAAUAAUUAAUCUAAUUAUAUUAAUCCACAAUAUUUAUUUAGGACUAAUAUAUUUUGAAUUUAAUAUAAUCCGAAUUUUGUACGAAUUUAAAUUUAAUAAAAUUGCAUCACCCACAAGAAGUACUUCCAAUAAAAUACUCUUGAUUUGUGAAAAUCGACAAUUAAAUUUGACCAUUACUACUUUAUUUAUUUAGUAUUUAAUAUAAAUGGUAAUAUGAGAAAGAAGUAAUAAAAUACUUUUAAUUUGUAAAAAUGAACAAGUAAAUUAAAACGUCUACUUUUAGUAUGAGGGUCAAAUAAAAUAAAAUCAAGGAAAUAAUAAGGAUAACAUAAAUAUGAAUUGAUAAAUUAUCCAUUAAUUUUUAAACUGAAUAAAUAUUAUUGUACAUAUAUUUUUACUGUAAUGAACAAGUAAAAGAUAAACAAGAAAGUAAACAACAACAACAACAAACCUAGUGUAUUUCUAUAAAGUGGGGUUUGGGAUGGUAAAGUGAGAAAAAGAAAGUAUCAUAAAAUUAAAAAGUCUUUUUCUUUUAAUUUUUUAAACUCAACGAUAAAUUAAAAUAUUGAAACAAAAUUAUUUGACUCAACACUGUCACACAAGUGUGCUUAAUAAGAUACCUUAUUAGUUAAGUAAUUGAAAAAGAGAAUCCCGCCACAAACAAAAAGACACUUGCACUUCCAUCACACACACUGUAUUGGGAUCUGUGUCAUAAGAGAAUAGCGCAGUGGAAGCAAGAGUACCUAAGAAUUUUCUUGUAGAAGAGAAAAAACAGUAAGAUGCAAAUCAAGAGAAUGAAAUCAGAUAUUGUGCUCAUCGAUAGCAGUAGUAGUAGUAGUGAAGAAGAAGAUGAUGAUGUUGAUUACGUAGGCGAUAGUAGUGAUGAAGAUAUUUGUGUUAUUAAUUCAAAGAAGAGGAAGAAAAUGGAGUUUUGUAGAGCUGAUCAAACCAAGAAAAGAGAGUCCAAAAUGUGUCAUCAGUGUCAGAGGUGUGAAAAACAAAGAGUAGUGUGUUGUUCAAGAUGCAAAGUUAAAAUAUAUUGCACUUCUUGCAUCACUAGAUGGUAAGUAAGAGUCGGUUUUUAAGUCUCUUUAUAUUAAAUAGGAAGUAAUGUUGCUUGGACUCUUAAUAGAUGUUGACCUGUUCGUGUUGGAUACUCCAAAAGUAGUGAAUUUUUGGAGGAUCCUAUACGCGUGCGGCAAAAUUAAGAAGUGCAUUUGUACCCUUAGUUUUUUCUCUAUUUGACACUUUAUAUUCCUCAAGGGGACUUGACUGAGAUGUUUUUAGCCAAAGAUAGAAACUUUUGAUAGUCAUAUUUCUGAUGUAUUGCUACUUAUUUUGAAUAUUUCUGUUAAUGAGUUUCCUGUACUCAGCCAUUGUAAGCUUGGAUACGUUCCAAAAUAAAGUUGUAGUCAUCCCUCUUUCUAUGAUGUUACAUGUAUAAUCAUACAUAAUUUGUAUUUAAGAAGAAUAGCCUAUAUACAUUAUACCUGUAAACCUGUUCACCUCACAUUUCUGUAGACACUAUCUGUUUAUCCGUAAAUGAUAGUUCCCGAUGCUCAUCAUUUAUGUUUUUUGUUUGUCCUCUACGUAGGUAUCCUGGGAUGCCAGAGGAGGACUUUUUAAAAGCUUGCCCUGUAUGUUGUAACGUUUGCAACUGCAUAGCAUGUUUGCGGUUAGAUGGAUCAGUGAAAGUAGGAUUCUUUCAAUUUUUCUCUUUGUCUAAUGCUCUAAAAACAUUUAUUAAUUAAAAUUGAGUGGUUCUCUUGUUUGCAUUGCAGCAUUUGUUGAAUGUAGAAGUGAAGUUCAGCGAUGAAGAAAAACUCGAGUACUCUAAGCACAUUGUACGAGCACUUUUGCCUGCUCUGGAACAAUUUAAUACCGAGCAAAUGAUUGAAAGGCAGAUUGAGUGUCAGAUUCAUGGUAUUAAAUCUCUCUAUUUAAUUUAUAGAGAGGCUGUGUCAUUUAAUAGGUUGUCAUAUACCGUUGGUAACACAGAUUAUUAAUGUGAGUGACUGAUUCUGCAAAUGCUGGCAUUCAAUGAAGCCAAAAAUCUCUAAGUUGAUUUGUGUUUCACGUUCACUUUUCUAAAUAGAAAGACUGGUUAUUUAAUGAACAAUGUUGAGUUUUGCGGCUGUAAUUCUUCAAGAAAAAGAUUGUGUCAUUUAGUACCAUUUUUCUUUCUUUGGACAGCAUUGCCAGAUUCAGAGAUUAAUAUACGGAAAGCAAACUACGAGAAGGAUGAUCGCAUUUCUUGGUGAGCAUUCACAUUUACCUUAGACUGCAAUUAUCUGAUAAGUUCACUGAUUAUUGAAUGUCACCCGUUAUUUGCAGUGACUAUUGCAGUGCUUUUAUUGUUGAUUUACACCGGAGUUGUUCAACAUGUUCGUAUGAACUUUGCCUUACAUGUUGCAAAGAAUUAAGGAAUGGCAACCUGCAAGCAUAUGCAUCCGAAGUGAGGAUGCAAUUAUUAACAAUGGACCAGAUUAUUUGCAUGGUAAAAGUUGUAGCAUAAUUUCAUGAAGAAUGAAACCACUGAAGCCAAGGUGGCAAUGACAUCUAAAUGGAAGUCCAUGGAAAGUGGUGCCAUUCGUUGCCCUCCCAAAGAUAUGGGAGGCUGUGGUAAAGGAACCUUACAUUUGAGAUGUAUAUUUUCUGAGAAUUGGAUAUCACAGCUGUUACUGAAAGCAAAAGAAAUAGCGCAAAAAUGUUAGCUGAAGGAAAUGCAUCAUGAUUCAGAACUGCACUACUCCUGUUCAAAGUCUAAGGGUGAAAAUGGUGUUUCUAGUGGCAAGCUACGUAAGGUAGCUGAUCGGGAAAAUUCUGAUGAUAACUAUGUAUUCUGUCCAGCAGCUGUGGAUACUCGGCGCGCAAAUUUGAGGCAUUUUCGGCUGUACUUAUCUAAGGGUGAACCAGUUGUUGUAACUAACGUUCAUGACAACGCAUUGGGAUUGAGCUGGGAGCCUAUGGUGAUGUGGCGUGCUUGUUGACAAACCGAUAGGACCACUGAUGUUUUAAAUUGCUUGAAUUGGUGCAAGGUUUGUCCAGUCAUCAUCUCUUCUUGAACUGUGAAACACAAUCUAAUGUUGUUACAUCUUAUGCCAUGCUUGAAUAUGGUCUCCAUAAAUGCUGCAUGACUAGGCAAGACUACUAAUAUCUCCAUUCUGGUAUUAGCUAUGUAGUUCAAUGUCUUCAUAAAACACAAUCUUGUCCCUAAUAUAGCUUAAAAUUUUCAACUUGAUGCGAUUAGAAGACAUGAUUGGGAUCUAUUGAGUUGUGUUAUAUACGGUCUCUUUUUUGUUAUUUAGUCUAGUUCAGAACUUGAUCUCAUUGUUACAUUUGGCAGCUCUAUGAUUUGUUCAUUACAUCGGGUGUGAGUGAAGUUCCCAAAUCAACGAAUUACCAGAAACUGGAUUGAGGAUAUUUUAAUCCCAAGAUGCGACUGAAUUUAAACCUCAAUAUACGUUUUGAAUGAAUUUGUGGUUUAAAAGAAACACGUCAACAUGCUCUUUAAUUGAGGUGUAGGUUCUGGUACAUUAUAUCUUACUUUAUCCUGGAUACCAUGCAGUUGGAAAUGAACAUACACCAGUUUUUUAAAGGAUACAUGGAGGGUCGCUCGGACAGUCAUGAGUGGCCUAAACUCUUAAAAUUGAAUGACUGGCCGCCAUCAGGUCUAUUUGAUGAGCGGCUGCCGCGUCAUGGUGCCGAAUUUUCUAGUUGUUUACCUUUUAUGGAAUAUACACAUCCUCAGUAUGGUUAUCUCAAUCUUGCUCUAAGACUUCCUGAUGGCUGUUGGAAGCCAGAUUUGGGGCCCAAGGCCUACAUUGCAUAUGGUUUUCCUAUGGAGCUUGGACGUGGAGACUCAGUCACCAAACUGCACUAUUCUGUGACUGAUACGGUAUGUUUGGCUCCUUAAAUGUAGUGUAACAAGAUGCUUGUACCGUAGAGAUCUAGAUACUCCGAAAUAUUAACAUGCUCUCUAAAAUUGAAGAACUUGCAAAAAAGCCAUAUAGAAGUUCCUGCUCAAGGUUUUAUUGUUCUUUUAAAUUAUGUUUGUUUUAGGUCAACGUGUUGAUGCACACUCAAGAUGUGGUCCCAACAGUUGAACAACUCUCGGCCAUAGAGAACUUGAAACAGAUUCACAAAGCGCAGGAUCGGAGGGAAUUUGUAGCUGAUGCUCACAAGAUGCAUGAGGGCAUUAAGGAUGACAUAGUAAAUAAAAAAUCUGUUUCGAAAGGGCCGAACUUUUCUCAAAAGAAGCAGAAUUGUGAUGAUUUGAAAGUUGAGAAUAGUAGGAAAGCUAAGAAUAAGAUGCAUGAGGGCAUUAAGGAUGACAUAGUAAAUGGAAAAUCUGUUUCGAAAGGGCCGAACUUUUCACAAAAGAAGCAGAAUUGUGAUGAUUUGAAAGUUGAGAAUAGUAGGAAAGCUGAGAAUAAGAAGUGUAGUCAAAAAAGUGUAAAACUUUAUUGUGAAACAAACAAAGAGGGAGAAGAAUACCGAUACAGAGAAGAUAGUAUAUCUCUUAUUGUGUAGGAUAGGUCUGAAGGAUUUGAAGAGGCUGAUGGUGGUGCUCUAUGGGACAUCUUUAGGAGGCAAGAUGUUCCUAAAUUGGAGGAAUAUCUCAGGAAGCACUUCAGGGAAUUUAGGCACAUAUAUGGCUCACCGUUGCCGCUGGUAAAGAUUAGCAGGCAUCUUUCAUUUCUCCAUUUUGCAAUUUCUAAAGUAAUUUUAUCUUUAUUCAUGUCUUUCCUCCACGACCGUUGUCAUUCGGUGUUGCUAAUCAUCUUUUACUCAAAAAGGGCGUUAAAAUUUAAAUUUCGAUCCUAUACUCAUCACUAAAGAUUAACUUUACUCCCAAGCAAAGAUUUUUGAGACCUUUUCGUUUAGCUUUCUUAUUACAUGAAAAUGCUAAUUAGUGACUAUGGUUCAACUAGUGAACCAUUAACUGAGUGUUUGAUAUUUUGCUCUAUGGUGAUUGACUGAUUGCCUGUGUGAUGUUAGAUAUUGGCAAUUCUCAUAAUAAUCACUUUGAUGCUUAGAGAGAAAUGUAAUGUACGUUAUAGUAUGUACUUUUGCUAUGUUGAUAGAUGUUACUUAUGGUUCAGAAAUCUACAUAUCUUAGCUAGCCAAAGUUACAGUAGAAAUUUGAUACUGCAUUAAACUCCAAUAUAUUUCCUAGUAUCCCAAUUGAUUAAUACAAAAUACAUUGAUUAAACUUUAAUAUAUUUUUUCCAUCGCAGGUUGUUCAUCCCAUUUUUGAUGAAACUUUUUACUUGAGCACUGAGCAUAAAAGGAGGCUAAAGGAAGAAUAUGGUCAUCUUAUUCUCUUACUCGUUGCCAUUUCCUUGCAUGUCUCAUGUGAAAAACAUUUUCUGAGACUGCGUCUUGUGUUCACUACGCUUUCAUUUCCUUUUGCAGGCAUUGAACCAUGGACUUUUGUUCAAAAAUUAGGUGAAGCUGUUUUCAUUCCUGCUGGAUGCCCUCAUCAAGUCAGAAAUUUAAAGGUAUACAGAUAGUUCUUCUCUCUAUCCCAUGUCAUCCUAUCCAAUGUUGUCAAAUGCGUGCGUAGUCCUAAAGCUCUGAAUGUGUUGAGCGCUUCACCUUGCUUUAGAUGCACUUCAGUCUCAUUAUCAAGGUUCUGAGUCAUACUUUUCCUUGCCAAUGAGCCCCUUUUGAAGAGAUGACACUAAACAGCUGGUAUUUCAACUUUAUCGUACUUUUUUUUCUAAUUUCUUUGUUCAUGUAUUUACCAUUUAGGCUUCUUGUUAUUAUUACCCCAUUGCACCUUUUUCUAGAUAUUUAGGACUAAUUGUAGGCAGGUACACUUCAUUUUCUGGAAAUGUGAAUGGAUGCUGAUAUGAUUUACAAUAGUAGGAUCUUAGCUUAGUGAACCAUAAUUCUAGUACUUUUAUGAGCUCAGCUCAUUGACUUUUGGUGUGUUCAUCUUUUACAGUCCUGUAUCAACGUCACUGUAGAUCUCCUGAAAAUGUGAAUGAGUGCAUCUGUUUGACUGAGGAACUUCGCAAGCUUCCCAGAAAUCAUGAUGCUAGGGCAGACAAGUUGGGGGUAUUUGGAUCCUUAUAUAUUCUUCUUUUUUCUCCUUUAUUUCCGCUGGAAGUAUAAUUGUCUCGUUUCAUCGUUGUUCACUUUUUUCCGGACCUUGUUUUCAUUCAUUGCUUUAUUUAUCAUUAUUAUUUUAUUUGUGUUUCGGCAUGGAAAAGCUAUGUAAACAUAUUCACAGCAUUCUUCCUUUUAUCUUCUUACCAUGUAGCUUAGCAUACCUAUUUUGGUAAUGUCGCAUCAAAGUGUUUAAACAGUUCCACCGUCUAUGCAGCCUUUUGCAUAUGAGUCCUUGGUCCUGUCUCAUUACAUGUUACAAGCUUUUACACUAUCUACGUUGAUGUUAAAAUGGUAUCCGCUUUGAUUUAAUUCGGUUUCAUCUGUAAUGUUAGUUUCUUUCUGAAAACAGUGUUUGCGUGUGUAAAUAAUGCUAAAAUCUGUCUGUAACUCUUCAGGUAAAGAAAAUAAUUGUUCGUGCUAUGAGCCAAGCAGUGGAUCAAUUGGAGAAGACACUAUUGUAAGAUUGUUGUUCCUUGUUUUCACAAAAUUAUAUAUUUCAUUGAAAAAAGAGCUAAUGGUUAAAAGCGCACCUAAAUUAUCACCUUCUUGUGAUUUCAUACCUACAUUACCCAUUGUUUUACUAACCUACCCAAACUAUCAUCUUUUGUGAGUUUCAUACCUCAACUAUCACUCCCUUUGUUUUAAAACACGCCUUGAUGCCGAGUUGGCCUACAUGCAUCUGUUGCCAAUUGGAAGCAAAUAUUCGGCCAACUCAGCAUCAAGGUGUGUUUUAAUACCAAGGGGGUGAUAGUUUAGGUAGGUAAAGGGAACAAUCAAUAAUUGAGGUGUGAAACUUGCGAAAAAGCGAUAGUUUAGGUGUGUUAUUGAUCAUUAACUCGUAACAAUGAACAGAAAUCUGGAUAUCUCUUUGCUUCUAUCUUUCUGUGCCUUGCAUAAUCCUUUUGCAUUUAGGCCUUAUUCUGGAUAUGCUUAAAGCAUAAUUUCAUUUGUACUUGUCAGAUAUGGAACUUUUAUCUUCUGGUGUUUUCAUUCUAGAUAUGCUUCUAUCUUAUGUUGAAACACAUAUGACAUAACCAUUCAAAGACAAGGUAAAAUAUACUGGUUGCGUUGUUGCAGCAUAAUGCAUUUGAGGGGGAAAACUGUUGGGAACUCACCCAGAUGAAUUUCAAUACGCCUACUCCUCAUCACAAUUUAUUUAACAAGCCCAUUAUUAGCAGUCCAAUAGUCAGCCAUUGUCAAAAAGUCCAGGCCCAAAGGCCCAUCUAAGCUCAUAAAGAAGAAAAAAAAACAAUAAUUAUAUAAAAUUUCCAUUUCAACCCUCCAACAAAUCACCCUAACACAAAAGCCCCUAAACUUUUUCAGCGACCAUAACAAUUUGUAAGCUAAAAAGAGAAAACCUUUGUGAAAUCUCAAUCUCAACUAUGUCUUCCAACAACCUGUCUUCCAACAACCCUUCUCAACUUCUUCCUUCUGGUACAUUCUUGAACUUUGUGCUAUUUAUGUUCUUGAUUUUUUUUAUUUUUUUUUGAUGUAAUUUUUUGCUACUUUUAUGAGAUGGUUUUUUUAGUUUUAUGUAUUUAAUUUUGCAGAGUUGAUUGAUCGUUGUAUUGGUU